GACGAACGCUGGCGGCAUGCCUAACACAUGCAAGUCGAACGAGAACUUCGGGCCUAGUGGCGCACGUGUGCGUAACGAGGGGGAACCUGCCCGUAGGUUCGGAACAACUGCCCGAGAGGGAACCUAAUAAAGGUGAAUCUAAUCGCACCAACGAUUUAUCGCCUUUGGGUGGGGCCUCGUUGGAUUCGCCAGUUGGUAGGGUAAAAGCCUACCAAUGCGACGUUGCAUAGCUGGUGGGGUAGGAUGCCCAGGCACACUUGGACUGCGACACGGCCCAGUCUCCUACGGGGGGCAGCAGUAGGUUAUAUUGUGCGCUGGGCGAAAGCCUGGUCCCGCAGCGCCGCGUGUGUGGUGAAUGCGUUAGUAUUGUAAAUCUCUUUUUCCCGGGAUGAUAAUGACAGUACCGGGUGAAUAAGCUCCGGCUAACUCCGUG
rnacentral:rRNA from 1 species